GAACACGUGAAGCAGUUCAGUUCCAUAACAAGUGUGUCAACAACACGGAAGUUAACAAGACCACAACAAGCGACCUUUAUUAUUAUCGGUUUAUUUUCUUUACAUUCUGUAUAACAGGCGUUUUUAAAGCGUGUCCACAAUGGUAUGACUUCUGAUAAAAGCUGGUGCCUACGUGGCGCGGAAGAUCGCUUCCGCUGUCCGUGGUACCGAACAAAACGAUCAGCCUGUGCGCACGCUAUGAAACGGGGCACAAGACAAUAAGCAACAGAGUCAGAAGCGGUUAACAGCAGAGGGGAUGUCAUCUCCAGAUGAUGGUGUAGUGUGUGUGCCUCCCACAGACACUGCAAUGCAGAAACAUGGCUCGUGAGGUUAAAGGUCACGCUGGUUCUGGGUGCUAGAGAAUAAAGCAACAUUCCUUGUGUAACAAAACAACAUUGUCCUCAACUUAUGCAGACUCAGUUUCAAGUUGCAUAUUUGCACUUAAAGUGCUAACCAUUUAUUCCAGCAAAAUAGCAGUCAUUGUUUAUGGUUAUUAGUCAACACGCCUCGCUGCUCAGAGACCCUAAUGGGAAUCUACAAUUCGUACUUUGGUCUAUAGAUAAAAGGAGAAAAAAACAGUGCUAGUAUCAAAUUCAUGCAAAUUUAUGUUAUAUUCUACAAGUGCCCUACCAGAAUGAUCAAGGUCUGGGAAUUUCCAAAUUAUAUCUAAAUUGUGUCAAAUAAAAUACAAACAUUUUACAUUUCACUUGUUAAAAAUUCCUUAAUUGGAUUAAAAAAAAAGUAAAAGUAAAAAUAUGGUCAAACUGUUUGAUAUUGUGAUGAUACAUUGUUACUUAAUACUGAUAUAUAUUACUUUUGAACACAUUCAUGGGGAAAACAAACUUUAUCAACCCGGUUUGCCUUGCGUGACUGAUGGAUGCUGUCAGUGCCUCUCUCUCUCUCUCUCUCUCUCUCUCUCUCUCUCUCUCUCUCUCUCUCUCUCUCUCUCUCUCUCUCUCUCAGCUGUAGAGUGUGAAGGUCUGUUCAUCAACCUCUGACUCAGAGACUGUUCAGAUCUGAAAUUUUCCUAUAGCUAUAAUAUUUACAUUGAAUGACUUCUUAACAGUGCUGUUGUAUUUAUACACAUUUCUUAGCAUUUACAGUAAAGUCUGUUAAAAAGAGUACUGAUGUAAUUGUCUAAUGCAUCAAAUUAUAUAUUGGGUGAAAAAAUAAAUUUGUUUUAAAUCAAA